rfam:Myotis brandtii contig216180, whole genome shotgun sequence.
GGCCAGAGAGCUCAGUUGGUUAGAGCAUCGUCCUGAUAUGCCAAGGUUGUGGGUUCGAUCCCCAGUCAGGGCA